CAGCGUCCCACCAGAGGUUGAAGUACUUACCUCUGUGCGAGACUGCAGUCUCUUGUUCAUCUCAUAGAUUCGGUACUCUGGCUGCACCAUGUAUGGUGUAUGUCUC